rnacentral:rRNA from 1 species
CCUACGGGUGGCAGCAGUGAGGAAUAUUGGUCAAUGGACGAGAGUCUGAACCAGCCAAGUAGCGUGAAGGAUGACUGCCCUAUGGGUUGUAAACUUCUUUUAUAUGGGAAUAAAAUGUUCCACGUGUGGGAUUUUGUAUGUACCAUAUGAAUAAGGAUCGGCUAACUCCGUGCCAGCAGCCGCGGUAAUACGGAGGAGCCGAGCGUUAUCCGGAUUUAUUGGGUUUAAAGGGAGCGUAGGUGGAUUGUUAAGUCAGUUGUGAAAGUUUGCGGCUCAACCGUAAAAUUGCAGUUGAAACUGGCAGUCUUGAGUACAGUAGAGGUGGGCGGAAUUCGUGGUGUAGCGGUGAAAUGCUUAGAUAUCACGAAGAACUCCGAUUGCGAAGGCAGCUCACUGGACUGCAACUGACACUGAGGCUCGAAAGCGUGGGGAGCAAACAGGAUUAGAUACCCCAGUAGUC